AGAUGUAAAAAGCAAGAGACAUGGGAGAUCAUCAUUCCUUUGAGAUUUUAUAACUCAAACCAACUUUGGAGUUGUCUGAUUUGGAGAGUCAUUAUUCUUGGUCUUCGCUCUUAGAGGCCACUGAUGAAGAGCAGGCGGUGACUGGGAUGAAUGCUGGUCAGAGAGGAGAAUCUUCUUUCCCCUAAACUGAUGCAGCGGUGGUUUUAAAGGAGGACACUGCCCUGGAUGAUGUAGAAGAUGUCAGAUGCUGUGCUGAUGGGGUUUCUUCAUGAUUACAUCAGUUAUGCUAAAGAGAUCAUGAAAAUUGACCGUGAUGCAUGAUCUGUAUUCAUGGACUAUGAAACAAACUGUAAGUGUAUAAUUAGUUAAAAAAAAAAAAAGUUAAAUGCUUUUUCUGUGUUGUUUAGUAGAAGAGUUUACACUCUGUCAUUCAUACACCUGCUCACAUUCUUUCACACACACACACACGCGUCUGUUAAAGGUUAUAAUUAGGGCUGCACGUUUUCAAGUUUUUCAUUAACCGUUAACCGAGGCCCUUAGCGGUUAAUACUCGGUUAACCAUAGUGUGCGCCAGGGUUUCCGUUGUCCGGUAAUUUCCGGACAUUGGCCGAAAAAAAAAGAAAAGAAAUGUCCGACAAAAUUUAAUCUCUCUGGUCAAAUUGUCCUAUUAAAACUGCCUAAUAAUCUCGCCCACUAACACAAUCUGAAUUUGAGAAUAAGCCUAAAAUGUAUAAAGCAAAUAUACACCGACCUUUGGCUAUCUUAUAAAGGAACAGGCUCUAGUAAUAGUUAUGUAACUUUCCGUGUUUAGGCGAAGGUAACAAGCAGGCUCCGCGGCCGCCUCGCUAAGGCUAUAGCACUAUUCGGACGGGACUAGUUUUCUAAACUACGUUUGAGUUUCGAUUCUUACCACCUGACGUCUGUGAUUUUCAUGUACCAAUUCGGACGGGACUAGUAUCUCCGUGUUUAUUACAGAGGUGGGAGGGUCUGAUUUGUGCAUCUGGGCGUCACAGAGAUCACGCGCUGUGUAUGCGUGCAUUGCAUUCAUUCAAAAUGAUUGCCAUUAGUAUUAUUACACAAUAAAUACUAGAUGGCUAGUAUAGCAAACCUUAUUAAUGUGUGGUUCUUUUUAGUUUAACUUGUUUUCCUUUUUUUUUUUUUUUUUUUAAUGUAACUGAGUACAUAAAUAAACGUGAGUAAUCUUACCUGAUGCUGAUAUUACAAUAGCCGGUAUUAACUGUUUAAGCGAUCUUGCUUUUGAUUUUAUUAUUUGUAUUUUUUAUUAUUAUUAUUUAUUUGCCGCUAAGCAAAUCUAUCAAACAUCCGCGCAGUAAGAGCAUCUACGGUAAUUCACGUUGGCCAAAACACACAAGGAACCGCGUUGUGAAAUAAAAUAUCACCGGCAAUCACAGACAUUCGCAUUCGGACGGGAUUAGCUUUCUCAGAGGAUCACUGAGUUUGCUGAAAAACGGUAGUAAAUUUGCUCUGGAAUUAUCACAGAGGUUGUGUGAGAAAAACACAGACGUGGCAGAUUCGGACGGGAUUAAAAUCACUAAGUACGUCUGUGAAACGGAGAUUUCUCUAACGACCCCCUGUAAAACUAGUCCCGUACGAAUAGGGCUUAUGACUAUGUUUGACAGGUACCAUAUUUGAAAAUCGAUAAAAAAAAAAUAUUUUAAUUACAUUUAUAUCUGAAUUUAUGUCAACCUAUUGACUUUCAAAUAUCAAAAUGUCAUGAAUUAAUAUGUAUUUCUGUACAAAAUGACAAACAUAUUUUCCUAUUAUAUUUUGCCUGGAAACGCUUCCAACAAGGCGUCGGUUCUAUUUCUAGCAUGCACGCGUCGAGCCGCGCCUGAGCCGCGCGUCUCACGCAGGCAGUCGGCAAGCUCUAACCUCUUAACAUGGGAGCCGAAUUAAAAACAGACACGCCACGCAGCUGAGAUGCUUUCGCCACGCAUCCAGUGUGUCCUGACCGGCCUAAUGAUGCCCGGGUGUUGGCUGUUGAGAUUACAACAACGAGGUUGUACUUGAAGUAUAUCUAAGCACUGUAUUGCGAUACUUGCAUUUUGCCCCGUCACUGUCAAUUUUAAAGUGCUCCAACGCUGUACUUUUUUUUGCCCGCUUCAUAUUAGAAAAAUGACUUCUUCUUGUGGACAUUACAAAUGUCUGGGAGCGCUCUGGCGGUCUCUGGUGGUGCAAAAAUGUAUUACAACUAAAUUCAAUGCACGCCAUUGACGUCACUUAACCGAGCAAAAUGUUUCACUCGGUUACGCAAUUUUUAACGGUUAAUCGGUUAAUCGGUUAACCAUGGACACCCCUAGUUAUAAUAUCAAAGUUAAUGUAGUGAUUUAUUUGUGUACUGUCAUGCCAGAAUAGUUGGAAAAAAAACUAACUAAUUGUAAAUUUAUUGUAUGUGUUUUCGUAUAUUUUUAUACAAUAUAUACAAUUGAACAAAGUCCAAUUUGAUCUUAAGUUAUAUUCAUCAAAUGUUCAAUGCUUUAUGAACUCUGUAGCUGUUAAUGCCAUCCUUUUCUGCAUUUUUCUUCUAACAUGUUACUUUUUGACUUUUCUCUUGUUUUUAAUAAAUAUUUUCCUUUUGGUAAUUAUUAUUUGUGUGUAAAAGUGAUAUUUAAAAUGAACAACAUUUGUAGGUUUAAUGCCUAGCUCAAUUUGGGUUGAUUUUAACGUAGAAAUGCAUUGUUUCCCCACAUGGCUGCACUCUGCGAGUUUAUUUUCUGCCAGCAGGAGGCGCUAAGAGCGGGAGAGGUAGGUUUCUCCGGUAACGGCUGCAGAGCGGUGCUGAGCUCACAAACGCUGCCUUAUCAAGCAUAUGCGAAAUGAUAUCGAACAUUUUCUAAAUACAGUAGUUUUCCUUCUGAAAUACAGUGAUAAAAAAACACCCGCUCUGGUUUUUGAAACCCUGCAAUAUAGUCAUUUUAAACCAUAAAAAAGGCAACCCAGCAGGCUGGGUUAAAUAUGAUAACCCAACUGGUUGGGUUAAAACAACCCAGCGCUGGGUUCGUCCCUUUUUGACCCAGCGCUGGGUUGUCAAAAUAACCCAAAUUGGGUUGUUUUCAA